GAUGUGUCGCGCUGGAGGAUAGUCGUAUCUCUCGGCUCAACUUAGGGUCUUGGACGUCGCGUUUUCUGAUGAACUUUAGUCAUAAAUUUGUCAAAAUUGUCGCAAUUUCUGACGAACUUUAAUUGUAAAUUUGUCGAAAUUCUCACCAGGGUUGAUUAUUUUGUCAAAACUGUUUGCACGUUUCAAAUGGUGAUGUGUUAAAAGGCUUGGCCAAGUUUCUGAAGUCGAGGCCUACACUGUACAAACGAAGUAUGCAUGUUCUUGUUGUGUGUUUGCUGUUGUCACAUGGCUGGAAAGUUCCGUACAAAAAACUGCAGCGUCUCAACACAUAAUUCAUUGUUGGGCCAUUCACUACAUAUUAUCAGUAAUUCCACGAAGUUCUCUUGCUCUGACUACAGACUUUUUUAAACCAUAAUAAACUUCGGUGUUGAGCUUGGGUGGUUUGAAGAGCUCCCCUGAGUUGCGUAGUUUGAGGUGUACAAAUACAACUUCAUGGCCGAAGCAGAAACACAUCGAGCCAUACAAAAUAAGCAUUGAUUGAGACGGAGAAUACUACUGUGGGCCUGGCAGCUGUGAGAGGUGGAGCAAGACCGGAAGACCAAGCAGUCAGCUGCGAGCUACCAACACCCAGCAGCCUAGAGCAAGCUACCGCCCAGCCAAGCUUCAAGAGACAUCGAUGGCACUGUUUGAUGUGACAGGUGCUCCUAUCUUUGUGCCAACAACUCUCAAGAGAAUGUGCCAGAUGGAGUUGAAGAUCUAUGGAUGUGUGGUUUGUGGACGUACAUUGGAGUCGUCGCUGGAGUCAUCGCCGGAUUCAGGUAAGGAAAACUUGGCACCAUCCGACCUCCACUAUUUAAGUUCACUUUUGAACAUUAUGCUGCCCUUUGUCCUUCUAAAAGCCUUCAUUGCUUUUUAUCUCUCAAAUGGCAGCAAACACAGUCUAGUAAGAAUAAUGGAGACGCAUUGCCAAUUUUAUUUUUCAAUGUUUAAGUUGAUAGACUUGUGCAUCGAAAAACAACAUCAAUGAGUUGUUCACAUUAUUAAUAAACAAUUGAAUUGAAUGUGCAUAAAACUUAUGCGAUGAGUUCUGAUGGUUCUCAAAAGAAAAGAAAAGAUAGUUCCCUAAAAAAUACAUUACUGAUUAAGCGCAAUAGUGGAGGUCGGAUAACGCAAGUUAUCCUAUAUCAAGAUCAAGACAAGACAAGGCGAAGACUUCGAAGUGUAAGAAAGAAUCUAACCCGUUCUCUUGCAGAGCCCCACCCCUCGUACCACCCCUCCCCCAAUGAUAUUUGGCGACCUUGUUGAUGUUGUCCUUGCUUGUGCAGCUUUCCUGGUGACUUUAGAGUUUCUUGGCAUUUCUUGAUGUGCAUAUUGGUCGAAGCCAAUGAUGCUUUUUAAUUAGGAGACUGGUCUUACUGGAAAUUUCUGUCAGGGUUGAUACUUCAAGUCGUCAGUUGUCAUGUUUAUUUAUAAUUGUCAUGAUUAAAGGUUUCAAACAAUAUGUAACAAAAUCCAAAUUUACCCAUUUCAAAAUAAUUGUCUAUUACUAAGUGCUAAGUCAUAAGUUAUUUCAAUGUAAUCAUUAUGCAUUCCAAGUACUCUGUUCUAAAUCAACAUUCAUUUUAUGAUUAAUGUUUGAUUUGAGAGUAGUAAAAAGAUAAUUUAGUCAAGCUAAAUUAAUAUUUACAUAUUCCUAAUAUUAGCAUGAAAUCAAGUCUGAAUGUAUUAUAGAGAUUUCCAAAUAACUAAAUCUUUAAAAUGUUGUUAAGUAAUUAAAAUAUAUAAACAACAAAGCUCAAUGGGUGAUUAAUGUCUGAUUUAGAAGUUAGUUGUAAAUAAAGAAUUUAGCCCUGCUAAAUGAAUAUUUACUUAUUCCUAAUAUCAGCAUUACAUCAUUCCUAAAUGUAGACAUUUCAACUAGUUAAAGUAAAUUACAAAAAUCAAAAAUAACAAAGCUGUAACACUUGCUCAUAAAAUAGUUUUCAAAGUAAUAUAACAGAUUGGGGGGGGGGGGGUAUGGAGAAAUCUAUUAUAGCAAAUCUUAAAAUUGAAUUGGCUCUUCUGCAAAUACUUCAAAGCACCAGAAUUAAGCGCUGCUAAAACACUGAGCUCCUUUAAAGCUUCAACGAAUACAAACCCAGAAGUUGGCAAGAUCAAGAGAAGAAAGGGUGGGUGAAAAACGCAGCCAUGUGGAAAGACGUCAGUGGUGCCUAGGUAGGUAUGAAUGGUAAGAUAGUAAGGCCUAGAGUAUCAGUGUUGGCCUAGAGAUAAGACUAACUCUCUACUCUUUCAGCAGGUUUACUGUGGAGAAAGGUUAAGUAUAGCGUGUGACUGGCGUAGUACUUAGUCUUGUUUCAAAGAUGCACAUAUCAUUUUGAUUGUGGUGAUGCAACUCACUCAAGGACACUAAAAACAAGAUCCUAAACAAAGUACAAGAUAAUGUCUUGAACCAAAACUAAGAACUACGCUGUCACAGUAAACGAAGUACUCGAGUAGAAGAUGAAGACUCUCCUAGUGGUGUCCCUCAGUGACUAAAGGUCGGUGAGGUCGACAAAUUUGAGCCGAGGUUGGAGCAAAUUAUCAGGUAUAAGUAUUGGGUAAGUGGGGUGAAAAUAACCAAAGUUUCCUCCAGAGCCAUUUGUCCACUGAUUUGGGAUUAAAUGCUUUUCUCCACAGAUUUGGGAUCUAACCUUUAUUUUCACAGAUUUUUUAUGUAACGUUUACUUCUUUUCUGCUUGUUUUCCACAGUCUGAACAUGUUCCUCUUGAAGUCGGUGUUGUGGCAGCAGGUGAUGUGCUUUGAAACUCGCAAAUUGAGCAGACAAAACAAUCCUGCAAAAGGAUAUAAGUAUCGGGUGAAGUAUAGUAAAAUGAGGGUAAUCGUGGGAAAGAAAAGUACCAUUCUCUAAGUUAGCUUCUUACUUUUUUUGAAUACUCUGAGCGUUUCCGUCAACAGUCUAGCUGUUACCAUUUAUUAUGAACUCACUCUGGGGAAGUGAAGUCAAUUCAAUUCAGUUUUUACUUGCACCAUGUAUACUUUGCAUCUGAUUGGCUUACGGUCUCAUGGUUUCACGCGUGCGCCCAGCUGCAGUGCGGUAAUCUUCAAUUUUUGAAGCAGCACUUUAAAGGGAGAAGAAGGAGGAGAAGAAGAAGAAGCGAAAGUAUGGUCCAUCCAGAAAGUUCUUUUCAGAACUGAGAAGUCUCCCGAAUUUCAAAAAUCUACUCUGCGGUAGAUAGAGAAGUCGUCAGAAUUCCGAAAACCUGCUUCGUGGUAGUAGAAAAGCAAGACAAGUUCUCUACGGAACAUAAUCUACCUUGAUACCUCACCAUGCAAUGCCUAUAAUCCCAUAUAUCUUGUUUUUGAUUUCCACAGCCUGAAACCUGUUAUUGCUUAAGAGGAAGUUUUGGCAAGCAACAUGUCAGCCCUGGGACACCGUAGAUGAUAUCGGUUUGGUUGAGAUGAUGACCUUGAAGAUGACCUCUCGACACAGUUUGGACUGUUUACCACCAGCUGAAGAAGGGCUGUGUCAACUCUAGCCAGGGCCGAAAUUCAUAGAGCUGCUAAGCACCAAAAUUUGCUUGUCAUGAAAUUUCUUCCUUCAUAAAAACAGGA